rnacentral:rRNA from 1 species
GCAGUCGAGCGGGGGAAGGUAGCUUGCUACCGGACCUAGCGGCGGACGGGUGAGUAAUGCUUAGGAAUCUGCCUAUUAGUGGGGGACAACAUCUCGAAAGGGAUGCUAAUACCGCAUACGUCCUACGGGAGAAAGCAGGGGAUCUUCGGACCUUGCGCUAAUAGAUGAGCCUAAGUCGGAUUAGCUAGUUGGUGGGGUAAAGGCCUACCAAGGCGACGAUCUGUAGCGGGUCUGAGAGGAUGAUCCGCCACACUGGGACUGAGACACGGCCCAGACUCCUACGGGAGGCAGCAGUGGGGAAUAUUGGACAAUGGGGGGAACCCUGAUCCAGCCAUGCCGCGUGUGUGAAGAAGGCCUUAUGGUUGUAAAGCACUUUAAGCGAGGAGGAGGCUACUUUAGUUAAUACCUAGAGAUAGUGGACGUUACUCGCAGAAUAAGCACCGGCUAACUCUGUGCCAGCAGCCGCGGUAAUACAGAGGGUGCGAGCGUUAAUCGGAUUUACUGGGCGUAAAGCGUGCGUAGGCGGCUUAUUAAGUCGGAUGUGAAAUCCCCGAGCUUAACUUGGGAAUUGCAUUCGAUACUGGUGAGCUAGAGUAUGGGAGAGGAUGGUAGAAUUCCAGGUGUAGCGGUGAAAUGCGUAGAGAUCUGGAGGAAUACCGAUGGCGAAGGCAGCCAUCUG